CCACAACAAAAAUAUUUCCACUUCCAGGGCUGUUUGCUGAGUAGAAAAAUGUCUGCUACACCAAAAGAUAUUGUUGAGUGGUUCAAGGCCGAGUAUCCCAAGCACAGAGGGACCUUUCUCUUCUACUACCGCGGGGACUGGUGACCUUUCUGUGUCAAGUUCAUCGAGAAGCUCGUUGGGCUUCAAGAUGAGCUGAAGAAGGCGGGGGACAUACAAGCGGUGGGGGUAUGUGCACAGCCUGCGGAUAAGGUUGACGAGGUCAUAGCUAAAACCAAAGCUCCAUUCCCAAUCUUCUCUGAUCCUGAACACAAACUUCGUAACUACCUCUCAGAGCAGGAGCUACUCCAAGUGGUCAUCAGCGGAGGAGAGCAGUCAAAGAACGAGUUCUACAAGAACUUCAAGUGGUUUGCUCCAUAUAAAAAUGGAGUGGCGCAAGCUGCCAUCAUGUUUAUAACACGUGAUGGUGAUGUUGCUUAUGCUUGGGCAGUACAGCCAGCCUCCAUCAACUGGUGGGGAGCUAAGACUCGUCCUGAUCCUCAAGAUGUGUGGGCUGAAGUUGCUCCAUACCUGGAGGAAAAGAAUAAAACCUAAACUUGCCAUCCCUAGUAGCUUAAACAUUUCCCCAUUAAUUUCAUUGUGUGUGUGUGUGUGUUAGUUUAGUGUAGUGACAGUCAUUGUAGUAGCUAGUAUCAAGAGUACUCUUGCUGGUAUGUGUAGUGUGUAUUUGGGUCUUUAUCAGUUGUAGUGUGAUGGGAAGUGUGUUAAACCAUUGUUGAAUCAUGGAGCACACUCUCUGAUGGUAUCAUGCACUGAGAGAGACAUUAUAAAUCACAUUCACAAUACUUGUAUUUAAUUUUACAAUUGAAAGAAAUCUUUGCAAAUCAUCUAUUGAACAAGCAGACACAAUGUACAAUGAAUAUCAUAGUUUGUAUAGUCCUAAUGAAAUAUUAGAGAGGCAGGCCUAUCUUUCAGAAGAAGUCAAAAAUGUCUUCCACUCCAGCAGAUAUUGUUGAGUGGUUCAAGGCUGAAUAUCCCAAGCAUAGAGGGAUCUUUCUCUUCUAUUACCAUGGUGGUUGGUGACCUCCAUGUAGGGGGUUCAUUAGUAAAGCUAUUGAGCUUUAUAAUGAGAGCCUACAGACAGGAGGGAUACAAGUGGUAGGGGUGUGUGCAGAGCCAGUGGAGAAGGUUGAUGAGACCAUAGCUAAAACCAAAGCUCCAUUCCCAAUCUUCUCUGAUCCUGAACAUAAACUUCGUAACUACCUCUCAGAGCAGGAACUACUCCAAGUGGUCAUCAAUGGAGGAGAGCAGUCAAAGAAUGAGUUCUACAAGAACUUCAAGUGGUUUGUUCCAUACAAGAAGGGGGUUACACAGCCAGCUAUCAUGUUUAUAACAGGUGACGGUGAUGUGGCAUAUGCUUGGGCAGUACAGCCAGCCUCCAUCAACUGGCGAGGAGCUAAAAAUCGUCCUGAUCCUCAAGAUGUGUGGGCUGAAGUUGCUCCUUACCUGGAGGAGAAGAACAAA